rnacentral:snoRNA from 1 species
UAACACAUUCUACAGUAGGAUCAUUUCUAUAGGAAUCGUCACUCUUUGACUCUUCAAAAGAGCCACUGAAUCCAACUUGGUUGAUGAGUCCCAUAACCUUUGUACCCCAGAGUGAGAAACCGAAAUUGAAUCUAAAUUAGCUUGGUCCGUAAUCCUUAGCGGUUCGGCCAUCUAUAAUUUUGAAUAAAAAUUUUGCUUUGCCGUUGCAUUUGUAAUUUUUUCCUUUGGAAGUAAUUACAAUAUUUUAUGGCGCGAUGAUCUUGACCCAUCCUAUGUACUUCUUUUUUUGAAGGGAUAGGGCUCUAUGGGUGGGUACAAAUGGCAGUCUGACAAGU